GAUAAACGCUAGCGGCAGGCUUAACACAUGCAAGUCGAGGGGCAGCAUAGAUUGUAGCAAUACAAUUGGUGGCGACCGGCGCACGGGUGCGUAACGCGUAUGCAACCUACCCGUCACAGGGGGAUAAUCCGGAGAAAUCUGGUCUAAUACCCCAUAACAUAUGGAUCGGCAUCGGUUCAUGUUGAAAUUUUCGGAGGUGACGGAUGGGCAUGCGUAGCAUUAGCUUGUUGGUGAGGUAACGGCUCACCAAGGCGACGAUGCUUAGUGGGACUGAGAGGUUUUCCCCCCAAACUGGUACUGAGACACGGACCAGACUCCUACGGGAGGCAGCAGUGAUGAAUAUUGGUCAAUGGGCGCAAGCCUGAACCGGCCAUGCCGCGUGCAGGAUGACGGCUCUAUGAGUUGUAAACUGCUUUUGUACGAGGGUAAAGUGGGUUACGUGUAACCUUUUGAAAGUAUCGUACGAAUAAGGAUCGGCUAACUCCGUGCCAGCCGCCGCCGUAA
rnacentral:rRNA from 1 species